UAUGUUUUGGGUUUUUAUUUUGAUUAUUAGUAAAAAUUUUUUUAGUAGUUUGAGCGAGUUUUAUUGGUUUCCUAGAGAGGAUUAAGUACUGAGAAGGAAAGUUAAAUUAUUUAUUUGGAAUAUUAGGUUUUUUUAGUACCUUUUGUAUUAGGGUUGAUUUAUGUAGUUUUGCCUUUGUUAUUUCUCGAUGAGUAUCGGGCUAUUUUUCUUUGGUUUAUUCUCAUUGUAUAGAGUUGAAUAGGGGAUUAUAGGUAUGAAAUAUUAUUCAAGUUGCUUUUUAUCUGGUUCUUCAAGAAAUUUAAUAGUCGGUAAUAUUAUUAUGACGAUAGGCAGGGAUUAGCUUGUUUAUUUUUUAUAUUGGGUUUGGGUUGAAUUUUGUUUGUUAAGUUGAUAGUGCUUAUUUUAAUGGAGUUAUUAUUGAGCAGAUUGAUUUUAUUAUUUUUUGUUUUUAUUUUUAUAUUGGGGUUAUGUUAUUAAUUUUUAGUGGUUUGUAAUAAUGAUUGUAUUAGUAAUAAUUUUUAUUAGUGUUGCUUUGGCUUUUCUGGUUAAGUUAUUAGUUUGGUGGUAUUUUAAAUUAAAACUGAUGAAUUCGGCAAUAUGAACUUCUGACUGUUUAGCAAAGACAUUGUUUUUUGUUGUGGUAAAAAAUAAGUUCUGUCCACUGCUAUAAGGUGAAGGGCUGCAGUAUUUUGACUGUAUGAAGGUAGCAUAAUCAUUAGCUUUUUAAUUGGGGGCUGGUAUGAAGGUGAAACAGGGGUUUGCUGUAUUUGUUUUAUUUAUUGAAUUUUAUUUUCAUGUGAAAAAUCAUGAUUGGUUUAGUGGGACAAGAAGACCCUAAUAAGUUUUAUUUUUUUUCUUAAUGCGUGUAUAGUUUUGGAUUUAUGCAAUUUAUUUGGGGGAGUUUGGCUGGGGCGGCAGUCUAUUUAACAUAGAUUAAUUUUUAACUUUUUGUGACGUUUAUUUGGACCUAGUUUGUUUAGAUUGGUGUUAAACUACUGUAGGGAUAACAGCGUGAUUUUUUUUGAGAGUUCUAAUUGACAAUAAAGUUUGCGACCUCGAUGUUGGAUUAAGAAGAGCGUGGC
rnacentral:rRNA from 1 species